UUUGGGCACGACGGCUUUAGCAUCUCCUCGCCCGAAGAAAACCUAGAUCAGGCUCCUUUGGUGCUCACGGUCUCCGCUCCGUUCGAAUUGGUAGAAAGAUGGUAGAAAGAGAAGAGAAGACGACGAAGAAGAAGAUGCAGCAGCUCUCCACGCGACCGGUACGCUAGUUUAAAUGGUCCUGUGGAUGUUAGGAUCCCGAAUAGCACGAUGACUUCAGUAAUUGAUGCUGAUGGUGGCAAUAUCCAUGAUCAUCAGGUCGUUCAAACAUCAAUGAAAUUGUCAAUCCAUGACAAAUAACUUCAGUGUCAGGAUUCUUAUAUAUGAUUGCAAUAAGAUUCAAAUGACAGGAUUUGACUGUGUGAUUUGCUAUAGAUUCACCGCUGUCUCAAGCACUCUAUCCUUAGUCCUACUUGGAAUCGGUGGUUUUAGUGUUCCUUGAUGGUUAAAUACUAUGCGGACAUUGUUGCUGGCUUUGUCGGAUCAUUUGCUGUCUAUUUCAGAAUUGUUGAACUAAUUGAUAUACAGUAACCCACAUGCAUACGAUACUGCUGCCGUUUCACAUUCUCGUUCCAGCUUUCAACCCAAAGAUCAGAAAACUAGAACGUAAUCAGGAAUGUUUCUACCUGAACUGGGAUUUUGCUGUAGCAAAGCACACAUAUUACAUGCCUGACUCUGCAUGGUAAAGGACCAAUUUUUCCACACAGUUAUCGUGCAUUGCUCUUGGAUUGCUGCCGUUGGAUCCAGUGAUUAACACGAAGGAUAGUUGGUGCCUUUCACAAUGAUUAAUGUGUAAUUAUAGUCGACAGAGGUUACUUUGAUUAAAGAUGCACAUGAAAUCUGAAGUUGUUCAGCAUUUGCUCUACCACCAAUGAAAGCAACUUUUUUUGAA